rnacentral:rRNA from 1 species
AUGAUGACUCUCGGCAACGGAUAUCUCGGCUCUCGCAUCGAUGAAGAACGUAGCGAAAUGCGAUACCUGGUGUGAAUUGCAGAAUCCCGCGAACCAUCGAGUCUUUGAACGCAAGUUGCGCCCGAGGCCACCCGGUCGAGGGCACGCCUGCCUGGGCGUCACGC